rnacentral:rRNA from 1 species
UACGUAGGGGGCAAGCGUUGUCCGGAUUCAUUGGGCGUAAAGAGCGUGUAGGCGGCCAGUUAUGUCGGUUGUGAAAACUUGAGGCUCAACCUUCAGAGGUCGACCGAAACCAUCUGGCUAGAGUCCGGGAGAGGAGAGUGGAAUUCCUGGUGUAGCGGUGAAAUGCGCAGAUAUCAGGAAGAACACCCGUGGCGAAAGCGGCUCUCUGGAACGGUACUGACGCUGAGACGCGAAAGCGUGGGGAGCGAACAGG